GUUCCCAUAGUUGAAUGACAACGGUGGCUUUUCGAGUCACAGGUCUUGGGUAAAUCUGAGUGGGAAUU
rnacentral:tRNA from 1 species